rnacentral:rRNA from 1 species
ACGGAGGGCGCAAGCGUUGUUCGGAAUUACUGGGCGUAAAGCGCACGCAGGUGGUCCCUUAAGUCCACUGUUAAAUCACGGGGCUCAACCCCGGAGGUGCAGCGGAUACUGAGGGACUGGAGACCGGUAGAGGCUAGCGGAAUUCCUGGUGUAGCGGUGGAAUGCGUAGAUAUCAGGAGGAACACCGGUGGCGAAGGCGGCUAGCUGGGCCGGUUCUGACGCUCAUGUGCGAAAGCGUGGGGAGCAAACAGGA